AUCCCGGCCAGGGAAAAUGAGACCUCAAACCCCCUACAAAACAGCAUGUGGUAUUACAUGGACUCUUAGUUGGGUGUGAGAAGAAGUAUUUUGAGUGGAGCAGGCUGCCCAGGGAAGUGGUGGAGUCACCAUGCCUAUAGGGUUUUCCUCAAGUCACCGAAGGGAGAUCCAUGUUUUCCCACUGUGCCUGUAGCCAGCUGAAGGUGGCUGUCACAUGGUCCUUCAACAGUGCGUGACUUACCUGGAGACAGCUCUGGACAAGGUGCUUCACCCAGGGACCACAAACUGAAGGAGCUGGGACUCCUUGGGAAGGAGCCCCACCCAUUGUUACCUACAAACAGAGGCCACCCAGGCUGGCAAACAUCCCUGUGCCAAGGUGGCAUGUAGGGCAUUCCUCACCAAUAUCCAAGCCAGACGUUUCUGUUAUAAAAAUAAGGCUCAUUUUGAGCAAAAAUGAAAACCCCUUCCCUGACAUGUGUUUUGGGGAAGGGGUAGCACAGCAGACCAUGCUCACUGUAUUUGACUUUCUCUACUGCAGCCACUGCAAUACAGGUUCCGUUUUAAAAAUCUCAUGGAGCCAGACCCAAAAUGCAGAUUUGUGUCAGUAAAUAUACAGUAAGUGUAAAAUUCUAUGCCUGAUAUUCCUGUCCCAUGAAAUCAUGUAAUCAGUCUGGGAAUUUCUGGGUUUCCAUUAUCCUCUAGUUUCAUAGCCACAGGAGAAAAGCACGGUGGGAUAAAGAGCAAUGAACGCACUCCCCUUUUUGCCAGAGGUAAAAAAAGUAAAUCUUGUUGCCUGAGAAGUAAAUCUUCAGCCUUGCCUGAUGUCUCAUUACCUUUAAAUACAUAUCAAGGUGUACUUCUACUAAACUCAGUAAACUCUGCAAUUUUCAA